rnacentral:misc_RNA from 1 species
GAUGAAGAACGUAGCGAAAUGCGAUAAGUAAUGUGAAUUGCAGAAUUCAGUGAAUCAUCGAAUCUUUGAACGCACAUUGCGCCCGCCAGUAUUCUGGCGGGCAUGCCUGUUCGAGCGUCAUUUCAACCAUCAAGCCCCGGGCUUGUGUUGGGGACCUGCGGCUGCCGCAGGCCCUGAAAAGCAGUGGCGGGCUCGCUGUCACACCGAGCGUAGUAGCAUACAUCUCGCUCUGGGCGUGCUGCGGGUUCCGGCCGUUAAACCACCUUUUAACCCAAGGUUGACCUCGGAUCAGGUAGGAAGACCCGCUGAACUUAAGCAUAUCAAUAAGCGGAGGA